rnacentral:tmRNA from 1 species
GGGGAUGCAAUGGUUUCGACGGGGAUUUUGCACCCGAAGGAGCGAGUAGCGGCGGGAACCGCUUAAAAAUCCCAAAUUCUAAAUAUAAACGCUAACGAUAAUUUAGCUUACGCUGCCUAAUUAACGGCAGCCAUCCUUUUGCGGAAUAACCGCGUUCUGCAAAAAGGGUGUCAUCUUCAGCGGUGAACGUGAACGCGUGACGCUCUAUAGCGCGCCACGGACAAUAGAGCUACCUUGAUUUAACGCGUGUUUGUGCGCGUUUUACCGAGGAAAUUUUAAUCACAAACUGCACUCGGAGAGCCUUUGGCGAAUAGAUUUUCGGACAGGAGUUCGAUUCUCCUCAUCUCCACCA